UACGUAGGGGGCAAGCGUUGUCCGGAAUUAUUGGGCGUAAAGGGUGCGUAGGCGGCGCGGUAAGUCGGAUGUGAAAUCUCGGAGCUUAACUCCGAAACUGCAUUCGAUACUGCCGUGCUUGAGGACUGGAGAGGAGACUGGAAUUUACGGUGUAGCGGUGAAAUGCGUAGAUAUCGUAAGGAAGACCGGUGGCGAAGGCGGGUCUCUGGACAGUUCCUGACGCUGAGGCACGAAGGCCAGGGGAGCAAACGGG
rnacentral:rRNA from 1 species